rnacentral:rRNA from 1 species
GACAGAGGGUGCAAACGUUGUUCGGAAUUACUGGGCGUAAAGCGAGUGUAGGCGGUUCGAUAAGUCGGAUGUGAAAGCCCCGGGCUCAACCCGGGAAGUGCACUCGAUACUGUCGAGCUAGAGUAUCGGAGAGGUUGGUGGAAUUCUCGGUGUAGAGGUGAAAUUCGUAGAUAUCGAGAGGAACACCGGUGGCGAAGGCGGCCAACUGGACGAAUACUGACGCUGAGAC